rnacentral:lncRNA from 1 species
CGCGGUCGCCCCAGCCGCCCGGCAGCCGCCGACCCCCGGCCGGGCCCUGGACUCGCCGCGGUAGUGCCUUCCCAAACAGAGCUGCUGGAAUUACAAUCUUUUGUUGAGCCUCAUGUAACGGAAAAGUCUCCGAUUACUAUCACUUGAAAAGGCUAGCGCGCCCACGGGACGGCCUGGAGAGUGAAGAGCCCCAAGGGUCCCGGGCCCGCGCGGCUCAUUCACUCUCUAGCGUCUGCUGAGGUAACGCGGCCCGCACCUGGGCGCGCGCGACUGCCCCAGUGCGCUGGCGCCAACCACGCGGCGGCGGCCCGGCGAGCCACCGGGAAGAAGUCAGACAAAGUCACUCUCAGGGCGCUGUGCAGCGCCACAGCCAGGGGAGGUGUAAGUUCGGGCUCAGUGAAGAAUCUCGGCUGACUUACGCUGCCAUCAGGGGAUAUGAAGGCGGUGGUUUCCUGGAAUAACACGGGCCUAUGAUAGGAAUUCGACGCAAGGAAGAUUUAUGGGAGCACCGAUUUGCAAGGCAUUGUGGGAAAAAGGUACACAGGCAGACAACAAAUUACACUUUUGGCAUUUCCAGUUUGGAGCCCUACAGCAAUACUCACUGAAGAAGGUUGCACAUAAUAUGAUGGCAGUAGAGCUGGGACGAACGUAGCCACACUCAAUCCUGUGAAGCCAACACUGAAUGAACCAGGCAGAGUGAACACAUGCAAGUAUUAGAAAGGUUUGGACACUGGGGAAGGGUUUAAUAACCCCACGGGGAUAAGAAGUAAGAAAUGGGAAUCCAUUUGGUGUGAUGGGACCAGGGAAGAAUAAGACAGAUCCCUGAUGGCCCAUCUGACCACCUCCAGUUCAGAAGUGGGGAGGAGGUAAAGGAAGGCCAGAGGUAUUCAUUCUUUAUUUCUUCAGUGUUUACUGUUCUGUAUUUACAGUAUUUAAUGUGUGCAAGGCACACUGCCAGGUGUUUUAGAAGAUUCAGAAGUGACCAGGAGUGUUGCUAGCCAAAGGAAAUGGGACAAAUGUGCAAACAGUAAAGUACCAAAAGAAUAUAGUAAGGGCCAGGGGAGGACAGCUCUAAGAAUUCAGAGGACAAGGAGGACACAUCUGCCUUUUGGAGAAAGCUGUCUCAACAAAGAGGAACAGAGCACUAAAGCUAAAUAACCCCCAUGAAGGACCAACCCUCUUCCGGAAAAAAGGCUUAAAUUACACAUCAGUUAAAACGACGACAACAUUCUCCUCCACUUGUGCUCUACAGUGAGGGGCAGAUGAAUGGCCUUUGGCUGUUGCAGCAAAAUAGAGGUAAUCUACGUAUAAACUACUACAAUUUUAACAUUCCAUUCCCUAUCUUGCUUGGUCACUAUAGUCACCUAAUACUCUGUAUGUCCUUGUCACAAUACAGUUCUCCAGGAAAACUGUGGCCAACGUUUGGAAAAAUUAACCAUGAAAUUCUCAAACUUCAACUGCUAACAUGUACUCCAGGCUAAUGAUGACAGAGAAUAACACAGGCAAACUGCAGGCCAACCUUGGGGAGAUAGUUUCUUUAGAGAUGCCCUCUACUGAGUGCCCCUGAUAUCCAAGGAACAUGGAAGGCAGUCCCCAAAUGAAGAGCAAUUGUAUUCCUUUAAUUCAGUCAUAAAUCAACUCUCAAUUCUAUGAGAUUUUUCACAGAAGAACGGAGCGCCUCAAAAGUGGAUCAAGGCAGAAAUGGAUGUGGAAAUUAUCAUCCUGUACCUUUGAGGUAAAGAGGCUUCUACAGCUCUGGCAUGAGCUACCACAGGUCAUAACCAUUAGGAAAGAAACUGGAAUGUUACCAUGCCAGGCUUUGUGAAUAAACUAAAGUUUUGCUGGUGGUGGCACAGGAAAAAAAUGAAGAAACCAAGAGGACUUGAACCAAGUGGGUAUGACUCCAAAGCCCAUGCUUUAAAUGAACAAAUUGGCCUACCCUCUAAGGCAAGAACCCUUUAAUAGUGGUCUAUGUCAGAAAAAUAUCAAAAAGACUCAAGGCUCUUAAAUAAAUAAGGAAAUGAAUGACCUGCAUCAAAGUCUAAUUACGCCUAGGCCAGUUACCCACCCAGCCAGGUCUCCUUGUACAUACACAAUGGGGGUGAUAUUGCCCCCACAAGGAAUGAAAAUUCAUUUUGGGGAUGAGGCAAAAAAUUGUAUUCUUUUUCAUAUUAGCAUAGAUAUAUAAUGUAUCUAUGGCAUGAAAAUUUCAUGGGUGGGCAAUUAGGAGGAAAAAAAGGGUCAC